rnacentral:tRNA from 1 species
AAUCUUAUAUUUUAUAAAAAUAUUAAAUUGCAAAUUUAAAGAAGAUAAACUAUCUAAGAUUU